rnacentral:rRNA from 1 species
AACGAACGCUGGCGGCAGGCUUAACACAUGCAAGUCGAACGCCCCGCAAGGGGAGUGGCAGACGGGUGAGUAACGCGUGGGAACGUACCUUUCAGUUCGGAAUAACUCAGGGAAACUUGUGCUAAUACCGGAUACGCCCGCAAGGGGAAAGAUUUAUCGCUGAAAGAUCGGCCCGCGUUGGAUUAGCUAGUUGGUGGGGUAAAGGCCUACCAAGGCGACGAUCCAUAGCUGGUCUGAGAGGAUGAUCAGCCACACUGGGACUGAGACACGGCCCAGACUCCUACGGGAGGCAGCAGUGGGGAAUAUUGGACAAUGGGCGCAAGCCUGAUCCAGCCAUGCCGCGUGUGUGAUGAAGGCCUUAGGGUUGUAAAGCACUUUCACCGAUGAAGAUAAUGACGGUAGUCGGAGAAGAAGCCCCGGCUAACUUCGUGCCAGCAGCCGCGGUAAAAGUCAACGUCG